UACGAAGGGGCUAGCGUUGCUCGGAAUCACUGGGCGUAAAGGGUGCGUAGGCGGGUCUUUAAGUCAGGGGUGAAAUCCUGGAGCUCAACUCCAGAACUGCCUUUGAUACUGAAGAUCUUGAGUUCGGGAGAGGUGAGUGGAACUGCGAGUGUAGAGGUGAAAUUCGUAGAUAUUCGCAAGAACACCAGUGGCGAAGGCGGCUCACUGGCUCGAUACUGACGCUGAGGCACGAAAGCCAGGGGAGCAAACGGG
rnacentral:rRNA from 1 species